AUAUAAAUAGUAUAAUUAAUAUAAUUAACUUCCAAUUAAUUGAUUUAUUUUAAAAAAAUAAUUUAUAUA
rnacentral:tRNA from 1 species